rnacentral:rRNA from 1 species
AGAGUUUGAUCCUGGCUCAGAGCGAACGCUGGCGGAAUGCUUAACACAUGCAAGUCGCACGCCCCGGCAACGGGGAGUGGCGGACGGGUGAGGAACGCGUAGGAACAUGUCCAGAGGUGGGGGACAACCCUGGGAAACCGGGGCUAAUACCNGCAUACGGCCCGAGGGCCAAAGCCGAAAGGCGCCUUUGGAGUGGCCUGCGUCCGAUUAGCUUGUUGGCGGGGUAACGGCCCACCAAGGCGACGAUCGGUAGCUGGUCUGAGAGGAUGAUCAGCCACACUGGGACUGAGACACGGCCCAGACUCCUACGGGAGGCAGCAGUGGGGAAUAUUGGGCAAUGGGCGCAAGCCUGACCCAGCAAUUCCGCGUGGGUGAAGAAGGUCUUCGGAUUGUAAAGCCCUUUCGGCGGGGACGAUGGUGACGGUACCCGCAGAAGAAGCCCCGGCUAACUUCGUGCCAGCAGCCGCGGUAAUACGAAGGGGGCUAGCGUUGCUCGGAAUCAUUGGGCGUAAAGGGCGCGUAGGCGGCGCAGCUAGUCAGGCGUGAAACCCCCGGGCUCAACCCGGGGACUGCGUUUGAUACGGCUGUGCUAGAGGGUGGAAGAGGGCCGCGGAAUUCCCAGUGUAGAGGUGAAAUUCGUAGAUAUUGGGAAGAACACCGGUGGCGAAGGCGGCGGCCUGGUCCAUUACUGACGCUGAGGGGCGACAGCGUGGGGAGCAAACAGGAUUAGAUACCCUAGUAGUCC